rnacentral:tRNA from 1 species
GCCGAAAUAGGUUAAUUUAAACUGGGAGGCUCAUAACCUUUUUAUGCCGUGAUACAGGCUUUCGGUU